UACAGAGGGUGCGAGCGUUAAUCGGAGUCACUGGGCGUAAAGGGCGCGUAGGCGGCCGGAUAAGUCAGCUGUGAAAUCCCCGGGCUCAACCUGGGAACUGCAGUUGAAACUGUCCGGCUGGAGUCGGAGAGAGGGGGGCGGAAUUUCCGGUGUAGCGGUGAAAUGCGUAGAUAUCGGAAGGAACAUCUGUGGCGAAGGCGGCCCCCUGGAUCCAGACUGACGCUGAGGCGCGAAAGCGUGGGUAGCGAACAGG
rnacentral:rRNA from 1 species